rnacentral:lncRNA from 1 species
AAUGUUGUAACAGAUUCUGCUAACAAAGAGAUAAACAAAACAAUUUCUGUCCUCAUGGGUGAUAGGAUGUGAAAAGUGUUACAAUCAGCCAGCAGAGAAGCAUGCUGGGACAGCCAUUCAUUCUGCCACCCAGGAUGUGAGGGAGCUUCUAAGAGGUAUUGAUAAAGGAACAGGGCCUUCCAUUGCUCUUUUCUAGGUGGGCAGCCUAUAGGAAAGGGGAUUUACAACAGUGGAAAGGAGCAGUAAAAGUGCUGUGGUUAACGCGAAUCACAUGCCCCCAGAACAGCCUGUGUCCACAGGAUACCAUCACUGAGCUGGAAUACAACAUGGGGCAUCUGAAAAGAAGAACCAAAAUAGAUGCCUGGUCUUCAACUAAAUUACCUGUUCAUCUUUUUCCAGGAAACCUUGGAACACCAAGGAAUCAGCAGUCAAACGAGCUCAGUCUCUCAGAACACAUGUGGGGGAAUUGAGUAUUUCAACUUUUAGGUAGACAGUUUCUACAAGCUAAAUAGUGGAACGAAAGGAGCCAAAUAAAGAAGUUAUAAAACACGUGCAUAUUUAGCCCCUACUUUUUAUUAAACUAAGACUUUUUAUUCACAUAUCAA